ACUCCUCUAGCUCAAUUGGUUAGAGCAGAACGCUCAUAACGUUUUGGUUACAGGUUCGAGUCCUGUGGGGAGUACCA
rnacentral:tRNA from 1 species